rnacentral:rRNA from 1 species
CCUACGGGAGGCUGCAGUGAGGAAUAUUGGUCAAUGGACGAGAGUCUGAACCAGCCAAGUAGCGUGAAGGAUGACUGCCCUAUGGGUUGUAAACUUCUUUUAUCGGGGAAUAAAGUGUUGCACGCGUGGGCUUUUGUAUGUACCCUAUGAAUAAGGAUCGGCUAACUCCGUGACAGCAGCCGCGGUAAUACGGGGGAUCCGAGGGUUAUUCGGGUUUUUUGGGUUUAAAGGGGGUGUAGGUGGGUUGUUAAGUCAGUUGUGAAAGUUUGCGGCUCAACCGUAAAAUUGCAGUUGAAACUGGCAGUCUUGAGUACAGUAGAGGUGGGCGGAAUGCGUGGUGUAGCGGUGAAAUGCUUAGAUAUCACGAAGAACUCCGAUUGCGAAGGCAGUUCACUGGACUGCAACUGACACUGAGGCACGAAAGUGUGGGUAUCAAACAGGAUUAGAUACCCGAGUAGUC